GCCAAGAAAAGUUUCUAAGUUUAGCUAAUGUUGCCCGUACCGUAAACCGACACAGGUGGGUGGGAUGAGUAUUCUAAGGCGCGUGGAAGAACUCUCUUUAAGGAACUCUGCAAAAUAGCACCGUAUCUUCGGUAUAAGGUGUGGUUCGCUUCGUAUUAGGAUUUACUCCGAAAGCGAAGAAACUUACAACAAAGAGUCCCUCCCGACUGUUUACCAAAAACACAGCACUCUGCUAACUCGUAAGAGGAUGUAUAGGGUGUGACGCCUGCCCGGUGCUCGAAGGUUAAUUGAUGGGGUUAGCAUUAGCGAAGCUCUUGAUCGAAGCCCGAGUAAACGGCGGCCGUAACUAUAACGGUCCUAAGGUAGCGAAAUUCCUUGUCGGUUAAAUACCGACCUGCAUGAAUGGCGUAACGAGAUGGGAGCUGUCUCAAAGAGGGAUCCAGUGAAAUUGUAGUGGAGGUGAAAAUUCCUCCUACCCGCGGCAAGACGGAAAGACCCCGUGGACCUUUACUACAGCUUGACACUGCUAUUUGGAUAAGAAUGUGCAGGAUAGGUGGGAGGCUUUGAGUAUAUGACGCCAGUUGUAUAUGAGCCAUUGUUGAGAUACCACUCUUUCUUAUUUGGGUAGCUAACCAGCUUGAGUUAUCCUCAAGUGGGACAAUGUCUGGUGGGUAGUUUGACUGGGGCGGUCGCCUCCCAAAUAAUAACGGAGGCUUACAAAGGUUGGCUCAGAACGGUUGGAAAUCGUUCGUAGAGUAUAAAGGUAUAAGCCAGCUUAACUGCAAGACAUACAAGUCAAGCAGAGACGAAAGUCGGUCUUAGUGAUCCGGUGGUUCUGUGUGGAAGGGCCAUCGCUCAAAGGAUAAAAGGUACCCCGGGGAUAACAGGCUGAUCUCCCCCAAGAGCUCACAUCGACGGGGAGGUUUGGCACCUCGAUGUCGGCUCAUCGCAUCCUGGGGCUGGAGCAGGUCCCAAGGGUAUGGCUGUUCGCCAUUUAAAGCGGUACGCGAGCUGGGUUCAGAACGUCGUGAGACAGUUCGGUCCCUAUCUGCCGUGGGCGUAAGAAGAUUGAAGAGAUUUGACCCUAGUACGAGAGGACCGGGUUGAACAAACCACUGGUGUAGCUGUUGUUCUGCCAAGAGCAUCGCAGCGUAGCUAAGUUUGGAAAGGAUAAACGCUGAAAGCAUCUAAGCGUGAAGCCAACUCUAAGAUGAAUCUUCUCUAAGCUCUCUAGAAGACUACUAGUUUGAUAGGCUGGGUGUGUAAUGGAUGAAAGUCCUUUAGCUGACCAGUACUAAUAGAGCGUUUGGCUUAUCUUUAAUAAAGCAU
rnacentral:rRNA from 1 species